rnacentral:lncRNA from 1 species
GCAGUCACAAUUCCUCUGAGACCCUGAGAUCCUGGUGUGACCAAGCUUCUGGGAUGCUGGGAUCCUGGAAUCCUAAGAUCCUGGGCAUGUUAAAGCGCCUGGAAAUGGUACCUCCUCUGGAGACCAAGGGGCUGUCUGCUGUGUUCAAAAUCAAGGUACACCAGCAAUGGCCAGAAGCUGCUGGUUGGGCAGUGCAUCUCUAACAGAUGAGUGUUGAUCUCUGUUACACUAAAGGGUAUGUGUGCACAUGAAUGCAGGCACUCAUGGGGACCAAAAGAGGGUCUCCUUCCAGGUACACACUUCUCCUUGGCCACUGGCAGCUACAGAAUCAUAUAUGUUAAAGAUACUUCGUGCCAGCAGAAGAAUCCAGCCUCUGUGACAACCAUAGAAAUGUGCUGUUCUUUAAUCGCUGGCUGACUCAGUUGUGGUGAACACCAGAGGAACAAGCUUUUUGGCUGUUUGAAUUUCAAAGAUCUCACUUUGAUACUACCAAAUGUUGGAUCUGAGAUUGCAGAGAGGAACUCUUUCUGGCUGAUGAGAAUCCUGUUAGGAUGAGGGCCUUCUCUGGACACAGUUGCAGAAAAUGAAUAGUUUCCUGAUGAGGGUCACUCAAGUUCUGAUGUGUGAGGAAUGUUCUUUAAAAUACUAUUAAAGAUAAUCUGUUAGUAUGUAGGAACAACCAGUUUCCUGUUCCUCAAAUGAGAUACUAAGAAAGCUACAGCAAAAGAAAAGAGUUUUAUAAGUAAGUAUGAGAGACAGUGUUGGUACCCAGAAUCAUCGCAAAUGAAUUAUGAAGAAAACAUCACCACCAGAAAACUCAACAGAAGCAUUGCCAAGACGGGAACAUAUUCUCUUAAAGAGAGGCCACAGGAAUGGCUGAAACCAUGGUGUUCAUCUCUUCCUUUUAUUGAAAAUAGCCGUUUUUCACUUUCCCAUAGUACAUCCCGAUUAAAGGUUACCCCUCCUUCUACUCCUCCAGUUCCUCCCAACCCCCUCUCAUCCAGACCCACUCCCCUUCUGUCUUUCUUAUUAGAAAACAAACAGGCUUCUAAGGGA